AGCUCAAAAACCACCAGAUAAAUCUAGCUGCAAAACUGAUUUUAGGCACAUAUUCAUUUCAUCUUGAGCUCAGGAAAACAAUUGUGUUCUACUUUCAUCAUCAAGCCAAAAUGAGCGAUAAACCAAAAAAGCCAGAACAGGUGCAGGAGGGAUCAGGAUCUGAUGGAGAGGGCGGACAGGGCAAAGGGAAACAGAAAGAAAAGGGGAAAGGUCACGGACAUGGUCCUGGAGGAGAAGGACACGGUCAUGGUCAUGGACAGGGAGGAAGAGGAGGUGGUCAAAGUAAAAGAGGUGGCAAGUGAAAGAGACCACUGAGGCGACCCUAAAUAAAAUGAUGAAAAUUCAUGAUUUGGUCAAAAUGAUUAAUGUAUGAUUGUAUUGCAUUCCUCAUUAAAUAAUCUACAACAUAA